UUCUUACUUUAUUAUUGUAAGUAACACCUGCUCAAUGAACAAUUAAAUAGCCGCGGAAAUUUAACCGUGCUAAGGUAGCAUAAUCAUUAGCCUUUUAAUUAAAGGCUCGUAUGAAUGGUGAAACAUUUCAAUUACUUUAUUAAUUAAUAUUUUUAAAUUUAAAUUAAGAAUAAAAAUGUUCUUAUAUAUAAAUUAGACGACAAGACCCUUUUGAACUUCACUUUAGUUUAGCUGGGGCAGCUAAAAAAAAAUAAUCUUUUUACUUUUCAAAACAUAAAUGAUCCAAUAUAAUUGAUUUUAUGAACAAGUUACCAUAGGGAUAACAGCGUAAUAUUUUUUCAAAGCUCUUAUUAAAAAAAAUGAUUACGACCUCGAUGUUGAAUUAGUGUAACUUUAUAAAUGCAAUAAUUUUAAAAGUAGGUCUGUUCGACCUUCAAAACACUACAU
rnacentral:rRNA from 1 species